UGAUGAUAGCUUUGUUGCUUCAAAAAAAAAAAGACUGUGACUCAGGUUUGCUAGCACUCAAAAAGACUUGGACUGAGGGCAGGUCUGAAAAAACUGAAUAUUUACCUGCGUUUUUGCCAAAAGCUGUAGUUUGAGGAUCUUCAAUGAAACCGAAGUUCAGUGAUGUUGUAGCAAUGAUGAUUUGGUUGGUUUCUUCCUAAUCCUUUGCAGGUGAAAAGAAUGUUGUCUUACUGAGCCCUCCCCCAGUUUGCUAUUUCAGUAAUUAUGCCAUUCCCUAGUGUGAGAGUAGGCUGCAAUUUUAAGGACCUCAGAAUUUUGCUACUGGCUCUCAGUGGUGGACUUUGCCAGAAAACUCUGUUGCAACCGGUUGGUAGAUGUCUGGUGCACAGGAGAUCAGAGAGCAACUCUGCAGAUCAUCAUACAUGUGGUACUGAAGAACAAUCUGAGCUAAGAUUUGGGAACCUCACUGAGUGAAUCAGAUGAGCGUGAUGCGAAGAGCCAAGAAAUGGAGAAUCAAAAUAUCUUGAACCAGGAAGGUCCCUCAGACACAGCUGGACCUUCAUGCUAUUGUAGGUAUCUAUCAAUUGGGUGUUUUAAUUAAUUCCUGUCUCUGCUUCAGCCAUCACUGAGAAUUCAAUUGAUAGCUAA
rnacentral:lncRNA from 1 species